UCCGGUGCGCCCCCGGCGGCCCU
rnacentral:sRNA from 1 species